AAAAGGAAAUUUCUGAAAAUGGUUCAUAUUUUGUGGUGGCGACAUUGGAGGAGGUGUCCUAGCCUUCUGAGGCUGUAGCCUAUCUGACUAGUCUCAUGGAUCAAAUCUAUUGUUGUUUUUAUCCCCCUUAGGGAAAAUUUUAGUGAUUUGAGAAGGAAUAUAAAUAGGUCAGUGUCUCCUUCUGUUACAGUUGCCGCUUUCAAUCCUAACAGGGACUGAUCCUGCCUGGGAGAAACAAAAAUAAUCUUGGGGGAAAUAUUUAAUCCAUCAUUAUUUAAUCCAUUGCAAAUCUGUUUUCAAUUCACAGGUGAUGUUGUUGAGAGAGAACAUAUUCAAUCACUCCUCUCUCUCUUUACAUGGAACUUCCCUUCUAAACUGCAACUGGAGAGCUACAGGUCUGGUAACAUUGGAAGGGCACAGGCCUUUCCAAAUGACAUUCCCCAUCCCACCCCCAGGUUUCCUGCAGUUGUUGUCAGAGUACAAACCUUCUUCCACACUUUAUACAAGUGUUUAGACACUUCGCCAGCAGCCUUGGUUUUCAGAGAGAAAAAUAAAAUAAAAACAGCACUUAAUUAAAAUGGAGCGUGAAAACCCAGAAGGAAUCAUGGUGUGUGAGUGCUUAGAGUGUUACAGUUCCCACCCAUUGUUUGGAAUUUGCAUCUUAAUUCAAUAUAAAGCCUGACAAUAGGUACAGCAAAGAGACGAAUCAAGACUUGGGUCUCAUGGAAGUUACCUGGUGCCAACAUCCCACGCACCAUUGUGGAGACUGGCUGGAUGCCUUGUGCUCUAUCAGGGUAUGUCAGACCAACAGAGGGGCAAAUCAGAGUGAAGAGGAAGCCAGAAGAUGGGAGAGACGUUUUUGAAGAAACAAGCUGCCAAUAAUGUCUGCAAAAAGUGAAUUCUUCCAACAACUACAUGAGCUUGGAAGAGGACCUUGAACCUAGAAUGAGACUGUAGCAGCCCCAGCCAACACCCUUCUCAGCUUUGUGAGACCCUGAGCAGAGAACACAGCAAACUUGUCCAGACUUCUCAUCUACAGAAACUGAGAUAGUAAAUGGUUGUUGUUUUAACCUC
rnacentral:sRNA from 1 species